UAAACAAGGCUAUGGGAGAUGACAAGUCC
rnacentral:piRNA from 1 species